AGUGGCGGACGGGUGAGUAAUGCGUAGGAACCUAUCCUUUUGUGGGGGACAACCCAGGGAAACUUGGGCCAAUACCGCAUAAGCCCUGAGGGGGAAAGCGGGGGAUCUUCGGACCUCGUGCUGAAGGAGGGGCCUACGUCCGAUUAGCUAGUUGGUGGGGUAAAGGCCUACCAAGGCGACGAUCGGUAGCUGGUCUGAGAGGACGACCAGCCACACUGGGACUGAGACACGGCCCAGACUCCUACGGGAGGCAGCAGUGGGGAAUUUUUCGCAAUGGGGGCAACCCUGACGAAGCAAUGCCGCGUGGAUGAAGAAGGCCUUCGGGUUGUAAAGUCCUUUCGUGGGGGACGAAAAGGCGGAUCCGAAUACGGUCUGCUAUUGACGUGAACCCAAGAAGAAGCACCGGCUAACUCCGUGCCAGCAGCCGCGGUGAUACGGAGGGUGCGAGCGUUAAUCGGAAUUACUGGGCGUAAAGGGCGCGUAGGCGGUGGGUUACGUCUGCCGUGAAAUCCCCGGGCUCAACCUGGGAAUGGCGGUGGAAACGGGCUGACUGGAGUAUGGGAGAGGGCGAUGGAAUUCCAGGUGUAGCGGUGAAAUGCGUAGAGAUCUGGAGGAACACCAGUGGCGAAGGCGGUCACCUGGCCCAAUACUGACGCUGAGGCGCGAAAGCGUGGGGAGCAAACAGGAUUA
rnacentral:rRNA from 1 species